GAUGAACGCUGGCGGCGUGCCUAAUACAUGCAAGUCGAGCGAACGGACUAGUACCUUGCUUCUCUCAUGUUUGCGGCGCACGUGUGUGUCACACGUGUAUACCCUCCCUCUCUUACUGGUAUAACUUCGGGAAUCCGUCUCUUAUCCCGUAUGAUGUUUUGUUCCGUGUGGUUCUGGAAUGAAUUUCGGUCUUGCUGUCACUUGUGGCUUGAUCCGCGCUGCAUUAGCUAGUUGGUUAGGUAACGGCUUACCAAGGCAACGAUGCAUAGCCGGACUGAGAGGGGGAUCGGCGGCACUGGAAGUGAGACAGGGACCAGAGGCCUGCGGGAGGGAGCAGUAGGGAAUCGGCGGCAAUGGGGGAAAGCAUGACGGAGCAGGGCCGAGUGAGUGAUGAAGAACUUCGGAUCGGAAAAAUAUGUUAAGGGGGAAGAACAUAUGUGUAAGUAAAUGUGCAGAUAGUGACGGUACCUAAAGAGAAAGCAACGGCUAACUACGUG
rnacentral:rRNA from 1 species